rnacentral:rRNA from 1 species
AACGAACGCUGGCGGCAUGCCUUACACAUGCAAGUCGAACGGCAGCACGGGAGCAAUCCUGGUGGCGAGUGGCGAACGGGUGAGUAAUAUAUCGGAACGUGCCCGGUCGUGGGGGAUAACGUAGCGAAAGCUACGCUAAUACCGCAUACGAUCUACGGAUGAAAGCGGGGGAUCGCAAGACCUCGCGCGAUUGGAGCGGCCGAUAUCAGAUUAGGUAGUUGGUGAGGUAAAGGCUCACCAAGCCGACGAUCUGUAGCUGGUCUGAGAGGACGACCAGCCACACUGGGACUGAGACACGGCCCAGACUCCUACGGGAGGCAGCAGUGGGGGAAUUUUUGGACAAUGGGCGCAAGCCUGAUCCAGCAAUGCCGCGUGCAGGAUGAAGGCCU